AGGGAGAGUGCUGACUAUGGGAGCCGAUUCCACUGCAGGGGCCUUUUGUAGCAAUUCACAGCAGGCUUGCAGAUGACUGUCCAGGUGGGGGAGGGGUUGUCAUGUUCCAGAUGGACUCCAAGAGAGGUUUGCCGUGUUAUCAGAGCCGUUUCUGUAGUAUGUUGCCUGUGGGUGUAGCCUCCACUCAAGGUGCCUACUUCCUAGCACACAGUGGCCUCAUUCAGCAGUCCUCAGCACUGACCAAAAGGAUGAGCAGACAGACCCUAACAGACUCCGCAGUUUUUAAGAAUUCCUGGUGUCAGGAAUGGGAUCCAAAGAGGUUUACCAACAUCCCCCAGAGCACUUGUUGGACACAGACAUGGUGUCACAAAAGCUCUUUCAGCUUACUGUCUCCACGGAGCAUCUGGAGGUCAUCUAGGUAUAAAAGAGAGAAGCGAGCAGAGACACAUGGGAAACUCAUACUACCAAGAAAGCAGU